UGCUCCAUGAGCUAUGUGGACGCAAAAAUCGGGUUCCUGUGCUGCAUACCCUAUCGUGAAGGAAAUUUGUGCCUAUCGUUAUAUAUUUCAACCCGACGCCCUCUUUGGGUGCUCGGUUGGACGACAUGGUGGGGCUUGUGUUCCCCGAACACAAUCUCAUUUGAUUGUUCGGACGGACCGCGAGUGCUUUACCUGUUCUCUCGGAUGCGGAACUUUUUCGCGGGUGYUAGGGUCAUCGGCCCUCGUUCCCAAUCUGAGGCGUUUAUCGCUUUUGCUGAAAUGACGCUCUCGCCUUGUUUUUGAUCAUGUGGAGCUCUCGGGCUUUCACGAUGGAUCAUGCUUGGCGGACGUCGUGAAGGAAUGCUACCUGGUUGAUCCUGCCAGUAGUCAUAUGCUUGUCUCAAAGAUUAAGCCAUGCAUGUGUAAGUAUGAACUAAUUCAGACUGUGAAACU
rnacentral:misc_RNA from 1 species